rnacentral:lncRNA from 1 species
CACUAUUCUCUUUUUCAUACAACCCCCUGCCAGAGCUAACCUCUGCUGCAGUGCAGCAACACUGAUUGUUGAGCAAGGAAAUCCAAGAAAAGCAGAAGGUACCCGGGCGGCUUUCAGAGCUAAAAUUUUCUCGGAAGAGCAGUGAGAAGAGAGGACUGAAAAAUAGAUGAAGAAGAAAAUUUGGGUGCUUGAUUCAGCACAUCAUGAAAGCCUAGAAGACUCAGGGAAGUGACUCAAAGUCCCAAGAAAGAAGUUAUACUGAUGAAAGAACCACUUAAGGGAAUACAGACAGCUCUG